GCCAAACAGCUAGCUUAAACACCUAAAUUUUUACAACACCAUACAAAAAACUUCACCCAACUUAAACCACACAACUAAAACAUUCUCCCGCCCUAGUAUGAGCGACAGAAAAGGCACUGCCAAAGCAAUAAAAAAGUACCGCAAGGGAAAGCUGAAAGAGAAAUGAAACAAACCAUUUAAGCCAAACAAAGCAGAGACUUAACCUCGUACCUUUUGCAUCAUGAUUUAGCCAGUCAUCCUGAGCAAAGAGAUCUUUAGUUCAGUACCCCGAAACUAGGUGAGCUACCCCGGGGCAGCUUAUUUAGAGCCAACCCGUCUCUGUGGCAAAAGAGUGGGAUGACCUCUGGGUAGGGGUGACAGACCUACCGAACCUAGUAAUAGCUGGUUGCCUAAGAAAUGGAUAGAAGUUCAGCCUCGCACUCCUCAACUCACAAAAAGUCUACACUAACCUACGACCCCGAGAAAUAUGCGAGAGUUAGUCGGAGGGGGUACAGCCCCUCCGAAAAGGGACACAACCCUACCAGGAGGUUAAAGAUUAUACUAAACAAGAUUAUUGCCUUAGUGGGCCUAAAAGCAGCCACCUAAACAGAAAGCGUUAAAGCUCAAGCAACUAACAAUCAAUUAUUCAAAUAAUUUAUCUAAAACCCCUAACCAUAUUAGGCCAUUCUAUGCCAACAUAGAAGCAAUACUGCUAAAAUGAGUAAUAAGAAGGACACACCCUUCUCCAAGCCUGUGUGUAAGCUAGAUCGGACUAACCACUAGCCAUUAACGAACCCAAUAAAAGAGGGCAAUAUGACCAAAUAAAACAAUCAAGAAAAAAUCAUAACCCAUAAUCGUUAACCCUACACUGGAAGGCCCAAAGGAAAGACUAAAAGAAAAGGAAGGAACUCGGCAAACACAAGCCUCGCCUGUUUACCAAAAACAUCGCCUCCCGCAAAAAUCAACGUAUAGGAGGUCUUGCCUGCCCAGUGACUGUAAGUUAAACGGCCGCGGUAUUUUGACCGUGCAAAGGUAGCGCAAUCACUUGUCUUUUAAAUGAAGACCUGUAUGAAUGGUGAAACGAGGGCUUAACUGUCUCCCUUUUCCAGUCAAUGAAAUUGAUCUACCCGUGCAGAAGCGGGUAUUGUACUACAAGACGAGAAGACCCUUUGGAGCUUAAGAUGAUGGAUCAACCAUGUCAAAAGCCCUGAAAAAGAAGCCAAACAAAAUAGCACACUGAUCCUAAUCUUCGGUUGGGGUGACCGCGGGAGAAAACAAAGCUCCCACGCGGACUGGGGUAGCCCCCUAAAACUAAGAGAGACAUCUCUAAGACACAGAACAUCUGACCACAAUGAUCCGGCUACACGCCGAUCAACGAACCAAGUUACCCUAGGGAUAACAGCGCAAUCCCCUUCCAGAGUCCAUAUCGACAAGGGGGUUUACGACCUCGAUGUUGGAUCAGGACAUCCUAAUGGUGCAGCCGCU
rnacentral:rRNA from 1 species